GUGGUUUAAUUCGAUGAUACGCGAGGAACCUUACCUGGGCUAGAACGCAUUCGGAAUCAGGCCGAAAGGCCUGCGCCAGCGAUGGCCGCUUGCGAGGUGCUGCAUGGUUGUCGUCAGCUCGUGCCGUGAGGUGCGGGUUAAGUCCCAUAACGAGCGCAACCCCUACUGCUAGUUGCCAGCGGGUCAUGCCGGGGACUCUAGCGGAACUGCCAGCGUAAGCUGCGAGGAAGGUGGGGAUGACGUCAAAUCAGCACGGCCCUUACGUCCAGGGCUACACACGUGUUACAAUGGCCGGUACAGAGGGCAGCCACCCCGCGAGGGGGCGCGAAUCCCGAAAGCCGGUCCCAGUUCGGAUCGGAGUCUGCAACCCGACUCCGUGAAGCUGGAUUCGCUAGUAAUCGCGCAUCAGCCACGGCGCGGUGAAUACGUUCCCGGGCCUU
rnacentral:rRNA from 1 species